rnacentral:rRNA from 1 species
UAGGGAAUCUUCGGCAAUGGACGAAAGUCUGACCGAGCAACGCCGCGUGAGUGAAGAAGGUUUUCGGAUCGUAAAACUCUGUUGUUAGAGAAGAACGUUGGUGAGAGUGGAAAGCUCAUCAAGUGACGGUAACUACCCAGAGAGGGACGGCUAACUACGUGCCAG